rnacentral:tRNA from 1 species
GCCCUUAUAGCUCAGUCCGGCAGAGCGGCUGUUUCGUAAACAGCAGGUCAGAGGUUCAAAUCCUCUUGGGGGCA